GUGAGAUCUGGCUUAAUAAGAAUUAUUAAGAUGUGCAUGGCAUUAUAAUCUUUAAACGUGAGCAUUAUCAUAUUGAAUAAGCUAAACUUUUUGCUGCUUUAAAACCCAGAUUUCUGAUGCUAUUAAGCUCUCUUUGUAUAACCAUUUCUGUACUUAAAAUAUUGUCAGCAUUGAACCCUCAGAAUGGGGAAGUGUUAACAGUUAAUAAGAAACAAGCUACUUGGUGCAAGGGUCGGCCUUGUGUUAACAGAAUGGAGAAACAAAUCCAGACAUCUGCUGAUGUAUUGUGAAACCACAGGACAAGAAUAAAAUGUGAGAUGUCUGUUGACCUGCUUUGAACCUGCUGCAGAACCACAGAGCAGAAGAACGACCCUGUGUUUUUCUAUGUGGUCAGAAUUUGAGACAAUGAGAGCAUAACGGAAAAUUACUGCUAGUUUAGAAUGUGAACCCCGUGACUCUUUGGAGUCAAAGAGGGGAGGGACUUGUGCUGUAUAUAAUGAGAGACCUUGUAAUGCUCAGCGCGCCUUUUUCUUGGAAGGUUGCCCAACUCUGCAGACUUGCUAAUAAAACUUUGUUUUCCUGAAUUUGUCUAGAGCGAUUAUUAAGAAGCGAUUUUCGUUUCUAACAAACUUGGGGGCUCGUCCGGGAUCAACACUCCGGCUGCGGGGGUCCGAGGAAGGACAUUGGAGAAGGUGCACCCUGCUGAGUUCGGCAGUCUCUGAUUCCUUACUCGUCGCCCCGCGCGGCUUGAGCGAGUGAUAUCCGGAAGGCUCAGGAAAACAAAGGGGAGACUUGAGUGGCCACUUGAGCAGGGACCGGUAAUCGAUCGAGUAAUUUCGGUGCACCGAAGCCAGAUCGAAUGCAGCUCCAACAAUACUCAAGAAGCUUGACACCAUCUAGGAUAAAGCAGCUUGCUAGAUUGGCGUCACAUCCAGAAACAUCCAUGCUCGAUACAUGCUCACAUUACUACAGUCUCAUCAGGCCACUUAGCACCUACGCAAAUGCGAGCAGUCUUGCGUGAGUUAUCAAAAGGCCUCAGUCAUGGCAGGUGGGACACCCUUCACUCAAAGGGUCUCAGCACACAAAUGAUUAACCAGUGGCAACAAUUAACAAGACCUUCACAGAUUGGUGACAGAUGAAAAUCAAGCAAGUUCCAGCUGCAUCAAUGCAUAAACUAAUUAAGAACAAUCAAAGAAAGUCGCUUCUAUAAGUCUAAAGACAAAAAAAACGUUAUCAUUUUUAGUAAGAAGUUCCAGGACUCUCGUUUCUACAUUUUUAAAAUACUGUUUGAUUGGGAUCAACUUUUCCAUUGUUGUGUUCUGACAAUGCUGAGAGAAGAUGCAUUCCACAUCUCACCCUCUCAAAAAUAUUUUAAGUAAAGAGAUGUUUUCAGAUGAUGCUUUUGUACAUUAAUCUGGGGAGCAUUAACUCUGCUUAAGAAGGUUGUAGAUAGGAAAUUAAAGCAAGAUUACGAAUCAGAUGGUUUGUAGAGGAAUUUGAUGCCCAUUCCAUUCCUUUGUUUAUAUUAUGAGAGUAAAACUUAUUUCAUAAAUGUAAUCAUAGAAUCAUAGAAUUGUAGAAUCCCUACACUGUAGAAACAGGCCAUUUGGCCCUACAAGGCCACACCAAUGUUAAUGGAUUAUUUAAAAUGGAGAUAUUUAAAAAGUCGAGCUUAUGAUUCUAAAUCACCUACAAUUAUUUAUUUGUUUGUAUUAACAUAGAACUCCUGAAUUAUUUAUUCCUUUUAAGACUAUUAUUAAAUUUCAAACCAACAGAAAGUUAUACAAAGAAAACACAA